rnacentral:rRNA from 1 species
UACGUAGGGGGCGAGCGUUGUCCGGAAUCACUGGGCGUAAAGGGCGCGUAGGCGGUAAUAUAAGUCAGAUGUGAAAGGUGGGGGCUCAACCCCUAGAGUGCAACUGAUACUGUAUAACUUGAGUGUGAGAGAGGGAAGCGGAAUUCCUAGUGUAGCGGUGAAAUGCGUAGAUAUUAGGAGGAACACCAGUGGCGAAGGCGGCUCUCUGGCUCAUAACUGACGCUGAGGCGCGAAAGCGUGGGGAGCAAACAGG